rnacentral:rRNA from 1 species
AACGAACGCUGGCGGCAGGCCUAACACAUGCAAGUCGAGCGCUACCUUCGGGUGGAGCGGCGGACGGGUUAGUAACGCGUGGGAAUAUACCCUUCACUAUGGAAUAGCCUCGGGAAACUGAGAGUAAUACCAUAUACGCCCUUCGGGGGAAAGAUUUAUCGGUGAAGGAUUAGCCCGCGUAAGAUUAGAUAGUUGGUGGGGUAAUGGCCUACCAAGUCUACGAUCUUUAGCUGGUUUUAGAGGAUGAUCAGCAACACUGGGACUGAGACACGGCCCAG